AGAGUUUGAUCAUGGCUCAGAGCGAACGCUGGCGGCAGGCUUAACACAUGCAAGUCGAGCGGGCGUAGCAAUACGUCAGCGGCAGACGGGUGAGUAACGCGUGGGAACGUACCUUUUGGUUCGGAACAACACAGGGAAACUUGUGCUAAUACCGGAUAAGCCCUUACGGGGAAAGAUUUAUCGCCGAAAGAUCGGCCCGCGUCUGAUUAGCUAGUUGGUAGGGUAAUGGCCUACCAAGGCGACGAUCAGUAGCUGGUCUGAGAGGAUGAUCAGCCACAUUGGGACUGAGACACGGCCCAAACUCCUACGGGAGGCAGCAGUGGGGAAUAUUGGACAAUGGGCGCAAGCCUGAUCCAGCCAUGCCGCGUGAGUGAUGAAGGCCCUAGGGUUGUAAAGCUCUUUUGUGCGGGAAGAUAAUGACGGUACCGCAAGAAUAAGCCCCGGCUAACUUCGUGCCAGCAGCCGCGGUAAUACGAAGGGGGCUAGCGUUGCUCGGAAUCACUGGGCGUAAAGGGUGCGUAGGCGGGUCUUUAAGUCAGGGGUGAAAUCCUGGAGCUCAACUCCAGAACUGCCUUUGAUACUGAAGAUCUUGAGUUCGGGAGAGGUGAGUGGAACUGCGAGUGUAGAGGUGAAAUUCGUAGAUAUUCGCAAGAACACCAGUGGCGAAGGCGGCUCACUGGCCCGAUACUGACGCUGAGGCACGAAAGCGUGGGGAGCAAACAGGAUUAGAUACCCCGGUAGUCC
rnacentral:rRNA from 1 species